rnacentral:rRNA from 1 species
UACAGAGGUGGCAAGCGUUGUUCGGAAUUACUGGGCGUAAAGGGCGCGUAGGCGGCCUUCUAAGUCAGACGUGAAAUCCCCCGGCUUAACCUGGGAACUGCGUCUGAUACUGGAGGGCUUGAGUGCGGGAGAGGGAUGUGGAAUUCCAGGUGUAGCGGUGAAAUGCGUAGAUAUCUGGAGGAACACCAGUGGCGCAAGCGGCUGACUGGCCGAGACCUGACGCUGAGACGCGACGGCGUGGGGAGCAAACCGG